rnacentral:rRNA from 1 species
UACGUAGGGUGCGAGCGUUAAUCGGAAUUACUGGGCGUAAAGCGUGCGCAGGCGGUGAUGUAAGACAGUUGUGAAAUCCCCGGGCUCAACCUGGGAACUGCAUCUGUGACUGCAUCGCUGGAGUGCGGCAGAGGGGGAUGGAAUUCCGCGUGUAGCAGUGAAAUGCGUAGAUAUGCGGAGGAACACCGAUGGCGAAGGCAAUCCCCUGGGCCUGCACUGACGCUCAUGCACGAAAGCGUUGGGGAGCAAACAGG